UCUAAUAUGGCAGAUUAGUGCAAUGAAUUUAAGCUUCAUAUAUAAAGUAAAAACUUUUUUU
rnacentral:tRNA from 1 species